ensembl:ncRNA W04E12.11 ncRNA
AAGCCAAAUCCCAAGCCAUAUCCCAAUCCUAAGCCUAUGCCUAAACCUAUGUCUAAGCCUAAGCCUAUGCCUAAGCCUAAGCCUAAGCAU